rnacentral:rRNA from 1 species
CUUGUGAGUAAAUUAAUUUUCGCUCGUCUACUUAUGUGUCGCUUCGUCUUUCGACCUGCUCUCGUCCCCUCGGAGCAACGUGGCAGUUUCUUUACUUUCUCAGUAAAGGGGAAAGCGGAUCACGAGUGUUCACGCUUCUAGCACCAACUGCAACUUCUUUCGCUGGUUCGCACGAUCUGUUCCGAGGACAGUGCCAGGCGGAGAGUUUGACUGAAUCAAACCAUCUGUCAAAUGAUAGCGCAGGUGUCGUAAGGCGAGCUCAGUGAGGGCAGAAACCUUGCUUAGAGCAAAAGGGUAAAUGCUUGAUGAUCUUGAUAAUAGCGAGUUUCAGAAUAGGGGGCCCCAGAGCUUUGGGUGCCCCCUAUUCUAAAACUCGCUAUUCAGUACGAUUACAAGCCGCGAAAGCGGGGCCCUUUGAUUCUUUUUAAUUAAAAAGUUUUAAGCAAGACGUGUCAGAAACGUUAUCCCAGGGGCAACUGACUUGUGGCGGUCAAGCGUUCACAGUGGCGUCACUUUUUCUUCUUUCGAUGCUGGUACUUCUUAUCAUUGCGAAGCAUAAUUUGCCAAGCGCUGGAUUGUCAUCCACAAAAAUGGGGAACGUGAGCUGGGUUUAGACCGUCGUGAGACAGGUUAG